rnacentral:misc_RNA from 1 species
UUUCUUUCCAUCCAAACGCUCCUCUCUUUUCUUGUUUCUCUCUCAUUGGCAUAAUUCCCUCCAUUUUUCUCACUUUCUUACGAAACAAACAAACCAAAUUGCUCUCACCAGGCGACAAAACAGGGUAUGCCUAAUCUGUAUUCGAGCCUUUAAAAUAAUAGAUUUCUAGGGUUUCGAAUUUGCUCUAGUUCUUGCAAUGAUAUCUGUUGUAAAAAGCGAUAGAGAAGUAGUAACAAAUUCGAAUACAAUCGAGGAGAACCGAGGAGAAGCUAGGUUUUCUGGUGAUGUUGCUGAUAGCCCCGAUGAAGAGAAAGCCAGGGUUUCUGGCUUGGAGCGUGAUUUCAAAGCUCCAGAGAGUGAAGCUAUUGCUAGGGUUUUAGAGAAUAAUGGAUCUACUGAAGAGCUUAAAGCUUUGGCCAGACUUGGUGAGGAGAGUGAUGUAGACGAGGAAAUGGAAGAAGAAUCUAGGGUUUUUGAAGUGAAAAACGAGAAAAACCCAAGUUUUGUUCAAUUCGACCUACAAAAUGACCGAUGUGCUGUAUCUAGAGGUAAUGCGAAGGGAGAGGUUUAUAAUUCCUUUAUGUCUGAGUUCGAUGAUUUUGUUGCCAAUGAGAAGCAUGAGGCCAUGGCGGGAGCAUCUAGGGCAUUGAGUUAUGGGUUUGAAGUGGGUGAUAUGGUGUGGGGGAAGGUGAAAUCACACCCAUGGUGGCCAGGGCAUAUUUUUAAUGAGGCCUUUGCAUCAUCUUCUGUUAGGCGCACCAGGAGGGAGGGUUAUGUGUUAGUUGCAUUCUUUGGGGAUAGUAGUUAUGGAUGGUUCGACCCAGCUGAGCUUAUUCCUUUUGAUCCCUAUUUUGCUGAAAAAUCUCAGCAAACAAAUUCAAGGAAUUUUGUCAAAGCUGUGGAGGAGGCUGUGGAUGAGAUGAGCAGAAGGCGUGGGCUUGGUUUGGCUUGUAGGUGUAGAAAUAAGUAUAAUUUUAGGCCAACUAAUGUGCAAGGGUAUUUUGAGGUUGAUGUGCCAGAUUAUGAGCCAAGAGGAGUUUACUCGGCAAAUCAGAUUAAGAAAGCUCGGGAUGGGUUUCAGCCUAGCGAGACUAUUGCUUUUGUGAAGCAGUUGGCUUUGGGGCCACAAGGGUGUGAUCAGAGUACUAUUGAUUUUGUUAAGAAUAAGGCAACAGUUUUUGCUUUUCGGAAGUCUAUGUUUGAGGAGUUUGAUGAGACAUAUGCACAGGCAUUUGGAGUGCAGCCAAAACUGCCUGUUAAUGAUCCAGCGAGUUUAUCAGAUCAGCCUGUUAAAUAUCCAACCCGGGCCCCUUUGAGUGGCCCAUUGGUGAUAGCAGAAGCUCUGGGUGGUGGGAAGAGCCACAAAAAACCCAUGAAAGUGAAGGACCAUUCAAAGAAAGAUAGAUACCUCUUCAAACGAAGAGAUGAACCAGUUGACUCAGUGACCCUUCAACUUGGCCAAAGGCAAGCAAGUUCCUCAGCCCCUGCAGCAUGUGAGGAAAGUUCAUCAGCAAUAGUAACUGGUGACUUUGUUUUGCAGAAAAGGGCUCCAACAUCUAUUUCAGCAAAACACGAACAUGCUGGAAUUAUCAGCAAGGAAGUUGCAGGUCCUAGUGAAGUAUUUGGUAAAGAAGCAGUGAGCUUAGAUCACGGUCAAAGAUAUCUGGGUGUUCAAACUACUCAAGGUAUAAUUUUAGAUGAAAAAUCAUCUCCUGGUAAGGAGAAAGAUGCUCUGCAAGAAACAAAUGACAAAAUGGGGUCAGAUAUGGUUGUUGAUCCCACAAGUAUGGGUCAGUCUGAUAUUUCUGUGAAGGGGUUGCCGCUGGGUGUAACAGAUAAUACAUCACCUUCUUUUCAGCAAGAAGGUCAUGCCAUUGUUGACUUUAGAUAUGAAGAGAAUUCAAAAGUGUCUCGAAUGAAUGAAGAUUCUCCACAAACUGAGAGUUUUUCUGAAAGAACAGAAGGAGACGGUAGUUUGGAUAAGCUUCGUGAUGCUCUACCUAGUUCCCAUCUUUCACUGGUUGAUGCAAAGCCUCCUGUUGGAAUGAUUCCUGAUGUUGGAGUGAAGAAGGCCAAAGUUCUCAAGCGCCCUUUGGGCGACUUGAGCUCUGAGAACUCUAUUAUAAAGGAAAAAAAGAAGAAAAAGAAGUUGGGUCCAGAAACAAGCCCUGAUCGUCCAAAGAAGCGUUUGGCCAUGGGAACAGGAGGGGCAUUAGUGGGAAAAUCUAGUCUAAUCAGUGCCUCUACCAGAGAGGAUCCUCAGGUAAUCCAUCAGAAGAAAGAUGUUGGCAUCAGUAAUGCCACAUUCAGUAGUGUGGGAAAUAUUGAGCUUGAGGUACCACAUCUAUUGAGUGAUUUGCAUGCUCUUGCUCGUGAUCCCUGUCAUGGUGCCGAAAGGAACAGUCUGAUUACAAUGCAGUUCUUUUUGCGAUUCCGGUCCUUUUUUUACCAGAAAAGCUUGGUUUCAUCACCUCCAUCUGAGAGUGAGCCCAUUGAAAUUCGUGCAACUAAAUCUCCAUCAACCGUUGGGGUUUCUGACAGUUCUGCUGAGAACGUCAGAGAUUUGUCAACUUCAAAACCUGUAAAAUCCAUAGCCAGACCAGAUGAUCCAACAAGAGUUGGACGGAAACGAUUGCCAUCUGAUCGUCAAGAAGAAAUUGUGGCAAGGAGAUUGAAAAAAAUUAGUCAGUUGAAAACAUUAGCUGCAGAAAAGAAGGCAGGUCAGAGAACUUCGGAAACCCAACGAUCAGAAGGGAAAGAACUGGCCACUGCUGCUCCACCAAAGCCAGCCAAAUCAGAGUCUUCCAAGAAAAUAGAGCCUCACCAUAGAGCAGUUGAGCCCACCAUGCUAGUGAUGAAGUUCCCUCCUGGGACAUCUCUUCCCUCUGUUGCUGAGCUGAAGGCAAGGUUUGCUCGAUUUGGAUCAAUAGAUCAGUCAGCUAUCCGUGUCUUUUGGCAGUCCUCAACGUGCCGUGUUGUAUUCCGGCACAAGCUUGAUGCACAGGCAGCAUACAAAUAUGCUGUUGGAAACAAUUCCUUAUUUGGUAAUGAUGUGAAUGUGAGGUACACUGUUCGGGAAGUAGGAGCUCCUGCACCUGAAGCACCUGAAUCUGACAAGGGAAGAGAAGACGACACUUCCGUUGAGGCCCCACGGUUAAAGGAUCCAGCAAAUGAAAGACUACUUAUGCACCAGCCUCUUCCUCAGUCAACCAUGCAGCUCAAGUCCAUUUUGAAGAAACCAACAGGCGAUGAAGCAGGGCAGGUAACUGGUGGUAAUGGUGGUAGAGGGACUGCUCGUGUAAAAUUCAUGUUGGGUGGGGAAGAGACUAGUAGGGGAGAGCAAUUGAUGAUUGGUAAUAGAAACUUCAACAACAAUGCUAGUUUUGCUGAUGGUGGUGCACCUACUUCUUCUGUUGCUAUGGAUUUUAAUAGUAAGAACUAUCAAAAGGUUAUGGCUCCAUCUCCAUCGCUAAUUCUCCCCCUUCCUAGUCAAUUCGCAAAAGUCCCACUUAAUAACUCGCAUCAUACUGAAGUAGCACCUAGAAAUUUUCAUAAUCUGAAUAUUCCCAUUGCUCCACCUAGCAUGCCAAGCAUAGACAUUUCACAGCAGAUGCUAAGCCUUUUGACAAGGUGCAACGAUGUUGUAACCACCGUCACGGGCUUGUUAGGCUAUGUGCCUUACCAUCCUCUCUGAUGACUACAACUACUAGUACGGGACAACCACUGAUUUACUACAAGAAAAAGCCACUGAUUUCAUGUCCAAACCUCUGCAUGCAUUGCCUUUUGGGAACCGGGGGAGAAGCUGCCUAAAUUUUUCUCAUGGGAUGUAUGUCGUUGUGGGCAUCACGAGCUGUUAAUUGGGACGCUAAUUAAGGUAAAUCCAUGAUGGAUUGUGAUUGGUCUUCUGUUGUGUUGCCAUGAGUAAAUGUACCCAUACAGAUGGUGCCAUCUCUUUUUAUAUUUCCUUUUUUUUUUGGGUCAUAUUUACAACUUUACCACACUUUUGUGCUUGAAGUGCAUGUUAGUAUGUUGUUCUUAGAUUGUUGUUUAUUUGGGUACCAUCUUGAGUUGAAUUCAACAUUUUAAUUUUAGAAAAAAUUCCAGUAUUAU